UACGGGGGGGGCAAGCGUUGUUCGGAAUUACUGGGCGUAAAGGGCUCGUAGGCGGCCAACUAAGUCAGACGUGAAAUCCCUCGGCUUAACCGGGGAACUGCAUCUGAUACUGGAUGGCUUGAGUUCGGGAGAGGGAUGCGGAAUUCCAGGUGUAGCGGUGAAAUGCGUAGAUAUCGCUUGGAACGCCAACGGUGAAAACAGGUUGCUGGGGUUGUGCCGACGCUGAGACACGAAAGCCAGGGGAGCAAACGGG
rnacentral:rRNA from 1 species